UUUACUUGACAGUAAUGUCUCUGUAGCCUUAAAAUAAACUAAUGUAACUACAGUGCUUGUUGUUGACAAACCAUUCAAGUUUAUGACAACCUCAGGUCAGAAUAUGUAGACAAGUGGCCAGGGCUGAUCAUAGUAAAGUGUGUUUUAAUUCUAGAUAGGAGGCAUUUGUGAUUGCUGUAUAGAGACAUGUGAUUUAUUAAAACGAUUUUGUGAUGUAAAGAUGUUUUUACCUAAGGCAAGAUGAGUUGUUAGCCUAGUUGUUAGCUUAUCAACUGUCUGCUGCAUGUGGCUUGAAACCUUUUUUUAAUCAAAAGUUGCACACCAUUCACCUCCAUAAAGACUCUCUUUAAUUAGAACUGGUGAGUCUCUUGCUACAUGAGACUGUCAAACUUAUUUUCUUGUUUUUGUUUAUUAUAAGAAUGAGCAUGUAAAUUUUUAGCUGUAUUGUGUUGUGCUGAUCCUGCUUAUGUGCUAUAUAUUUUCUGCAGGGAACAUGCUACUCAAAGUGAAACUUGGUGAUGUCCAAAAAUUUGUUAGAAUAACAGAGCCAAAUCGGUCAGACUUUUUGAACGCAGCAUUUGCCAAAUUUGGUGUCCCAGCUGUAACAGAAGGUGUCAAAGUUGUUGACAGUUCAGGGACUGAGUUGGAUGAUGAUGUUUUUGAGGACAUAGUAAAGUAUCCUUCCACUGGGGUGCUAACCAUUAGAUAUGAAAGAGAAUUUGUCUCCAUGGUAGCCUCUCCUGAGUCCCAGCUAUCAUCUGUUCAUCGGACUCUGAUACAAUCAUCCUUCCAGACAGCCCUUCCAGAAAGCGUCAGAGGCUGGAUUCAGAAGCUCAGCAAGUAAGACUUCACACAGACACUAAUGUAGGAAUGUAACAAUACACUCAACCCACGAUAGGAUUUGAGGAAUCAGGAAGCAGCUACUACUGACAGCAUUCAGAUGACUUUUCCUGCUUGUUGUGCCACUUUGGUGACAAACUACAUCUUAAGCACACCUCCCCCAGCAUGUAAAAAGAGUAUCCGGAUAGAAAUUUUGCUGUAUCGAUUUAAAUCCUCCCUAAAUUGUAUCGCUUUUUUAACUGAUUGGGGAUAUACCCUUUCCUCCCUGCACUAAUGUGUUCUAUUGGACAAGGAUUAAAUUGGU